GGGCCUGUAGAUUAGUCGCAGAUUAUUGGAUUGAAGUUCUUGAGGCCGCGGGUUCAAUUCCCGCCAGGUCCACCA
rnacentral:tRNA from 1 species